rnacentral:ncRNA from 2 species
ACUGCAUCAAGAGCGGCGGAGGGACAGGCCCGAUGAAGCCCGGCAACCAGCAACCUGCAUGGUGCUAAUUCCUAGGAGAUGUGGU